rnacentral:rRNA from 1 species
UGGCGGACGGGUGAGUAAUGUCUGGGAAACUGCCUGAUGGAGGGGGAGUAACUACUGGAAACGGUAGCUAAUACCGCAUAACGUCGCGAGACCAAAGAGGGGGACCUUCGGGCCUCUUGCCAUCGGAUGUGCCCAGAUGGGAUUAGCUAGUAGGUGGGGUAACGGGCUCACCUAGGCGACGAUCCCUAGCUGGUCUGAGAGGAUGACCAGCCACACUGGAACUGAGACACGGUCCAGACUCCUACGGGAGGCAGCAUG